rnacentral:tRNA from 1 species
GCUGAAGUAGAUCAGUUGGAGAGCCUUAAACUGAAGAUCUAAUAGUCCCUGAUUCAUUUCCAGCCUUUGGCA